rnacentral:lncRNA from 1 species
GUCACGGCCUCCUCGAAGCGAGAAAAAAGACGAAAAUAAAGGAAGAAAAUAAUUAAAAAAAAAAAAUACGAGGAAAGUGCUGCUAGGGAGAUUCUCCCCGCGCUCCCUCCCGCCCGCUGCCCGGGUCAUCGUAACCCGGUUAGAAAUCAACAGCAGAACGGGGAGGGGAGGGGGAGGCUGGGGAAGACCACUGCGACCGCAGCGGCGGCAGGCUGAGGGAAAGCGGCUCCGGGAGGAGGACCUCUGCCUUCGUCAUAUAGGGAGCGCUGGCAUUUACGUAUGAGGGGGUAGUCACCUGCUUCUAUUGUUUUUUUUUUAAGAGAGGGAACGGGAGAGAAAAGCAACCGGUGGAGAGCUGAGGCUGUGAGCUGUCCCUCGGAAAGAGGAGGGGUGCCCGCGGGGCAGCUCCCCAGUGCCGGCCCUCCCUACCUCACUGCUGUCCUCGCAGAGCCUCGCUGGGCUCCGCGUUGAGAAAAUGCGCGGAAUAGGGAACUCUGCACUCGGUCUACAGAAGACUUAAGGGGAGCGAAGUUAGGUAAAAGCAUUGAAUAUGAUCUUGGACAAGAAAGGUUCUCUGUAGCACUGCACUGGUGAAAAUCGAUAGCAAUGGAGCUGUGUCAUCACUGGGAUUACUUUUGCCCUGAACAGUCC